CGCAAUUAAAAUAAGGGCGUAUGGUGAAUGCCUUGACACUAAAAGACGAAGAAGGACGUUGCAGAGUGCGAUAAGCCUCGGGGAGCUCUCAAGCAAGCUUUGAUCCGGGGAUUUCCGAAUGGGGAAACCCUCCUAACUAUGUUAGGAAUCAUAUACUGAAUUCAUAGGUGUAUGAAGAAGACCUGGCGAAGUGAAACAUCUCAGUAGCCAGAGGAAAAUAAAUCGAAGAGAUUCCCUUAGUAGUGGCGAGCGAAAUGGGAAAAGUCUAAACCAUAUAAAUGUUUUUGUGGUAAUAGGUUGGUCUUCGGAUUAACUUUGAACUGCGAUUUAAAGGACAGACCGUUGUUUAUAUGGAGUUGUAAGACAAUAAUGCUGACUUUCUGUAUGUCAGGUAAGAGAUUAAUUUUUAGUAGAAUGUUCUGGAAAGAACAACCAAAGAGGGUAAUAGUCCCGUAUAUAAAAAGAGUUAAUUAAUUAUGGUUAUUGUUCUUGAGUAGGACGGAACUCGUGAAAUUCCGUCUGAACCUGGGCCGACUAUGGUCUAAGACUAAAUACUUUUAGUGAUCGAUAGUGGACAAGUACCACGAGGGAAAGGUGAAAAGUAGCCCGGAGAGGGCGAUGAAAUAGUAUCUGAAACCGUGCGCCUACAAAGAGCGGGAGUCUUAUGUCGCAAGACAUGGAUGACUGUGUUCCUAUUGAAGAAUGAGCCUGCGAGUAUAUUGUGUGUCGCAAUGCUUAAACCCCUCUGGGGUGGAGGCGCAGCGAAAGCGAGUCUUAACGGGCGCACCAGUGCUACGCACUGUAAAUCCGAAGCACGAAAUCCGAAAUCCGAAACACAAAUUGUCGUUUCGAAUUUCGAUAUUCGAAUUUCGAGUUUUCAGCGCGUAGCGCUGAAGUGGCACGCAUAUAACCCGAAACCGGGUGAGCUAUCCAUGGCCAGGAUGAACCUUCUAGAAAUAGAAGGGGAGGUCCGAACACACGAGCUGUGCAACACUCGGUGAUGAGUUGUGGAUGGGAGAGAAAUUCUAAUCGAACUCGGUAAUAGCUGGUUUUCCUCGAAAUAUAUCUAGGUAUAGCCUUGAGUGUUUCUGCUGGUGGUAGAGCACUGGAUGAGAAUUGGGUCCUUCGGGAUACCGUUUUCAAUCAAACUCCGAAUACCAGUAGCCAAAACUCAGGAGUCAGGCAGCGAGGGCUAAGCUCCGUUGCCAAAAGGGGAACAGCCCAGAUCGCUAGCUAAGGUCCCUAAAUCUAUAUUAAGUGUAUCUAAGGUGGUUUUAAUUCUCAUACAACCAGGAGGUUGGCUUAGAAGCAGCCAUCCUUUAAAGAAAGCGUAAUAGCUCACUGGUCAAGAGUUUUAGCGCCGAAAAUGUACGGGACUCAAAUAUAGUACCGAAGCUGCGAACCAGUGCGAAGCACUGAGAAAUUCAAAAAUCAAAUAUCAAAAUGCAAAAUUAAUGAGUCGCUACGCGACAAUUUAUUAUAAAAUUGUGAGUGAAGCGAACACCAAAAUUUUAAUUUUUGAUUUUUACAUUUUGAUUUUUCAGCGUUUCGCGCUGGUGGUAGAGGAAUGUUCCUAGCGCGCUGAAGCCAUAGACGCGAGUCACGGUGGAGUGCUAGGAAGUAAGAAUGCAGGCAUAAGUAGCAAAAAGCCAGGUGCGAAUCCUGGCCGCCAAAAAUCCGAGGUUUCCUGGGCAACGAGAAUCGCCCCAGGGUUAGUCGAUCCUAAGGCCAGGCCGAAAGGCGUAACCGAUGGAAGAGCAGGUUAAUAUUCCUGCACUGUAUAUAGUUUGGUUUUUAUUGCACAUCUUAAAACUUUUAGCGUAUUUUGGUUAUAUACGUGUCGCAAGACGGAGACGAAGCCUUCGGGUAGAGUCAAGUAAAGGCGGCGAGGUGUCUAGAAAAGGUAAAAAUCGUUAAGCUAUAUAUAACCGUACCGUAAACCGACACAGGUGGAUAGGUCGAGUAGACCAAGGCGUAUGAGAGAACCCUCGUUAAGGAACUCUGCAAUACAGCGGCCGUAACUUCGGGAUAAGGCCUGCCUGUUUUUACAGGUUACAACAAAAGACCAACUGCGACUGUUUACCAAAAACACAGCUCCCUGCUAAAUCGUAAGAUGAUGUAUAGG
rnacentral:ncRNA from 1 species